CCUUAGCCCUGAUAGAAGCGGCAUCCUUUUAUUUUUUUCUUUAAAAAAUAAAAGAUACAGCGGAUAGCAGGAUUAGCU
rnacentral:sRNA from 1 species